CCUGCUUGAGGUUUGGUAGAAGAAAUAAUGAAUUCGUAUUUCUGAUUCUCAUUUUAUUUGAUGGCAGUCAGAGGAACUGAUUCUACAAUUUCUGUCUUCAGGAUAUUCAACUUCUUUCAGCAAAAUUCUGUUCCUCCUGCUUUCAAAUUACAGAGUGAUGCUGUAUUUGCCUCUCUCAAGAUGUAGGCCUCACUAGUGUCUGAGAUUGUUGACAGUUUCUUUAUUUCCUCUCUCCUGAAGAACAAGGUAAGCACUUGCGCUGGUAGAGUUUGAUGGCAGAGCAAACAACUUACCUAGCUCUUAGUGCAAAAGUGUUGGAUAGAGGAACUGGAUUGAUCACAUCUAUUUGUUUUUUCCUCACAGCACCUCAGGGUGGCAGGGUGGCCUCUCAGCCUGGACAGGGGAAGAUGGAGGGUCCAGAGAGAAGGCCGUAGGAGAGAUGGGACGGGACUCUGGGAUGUACUCUGUCUGAUACUUGUCAAUAUAAGAGCCUUCCUCGCAGCCCAUCCUCCCAUGGACACAUGGUCCUCUGUGGCAGCACUGGUGGACAACGAGUCCACAGAGGACGGAUGACACAAAACUUUAUUCUCAGAAACUAAAAGAACAGAGGCAGCAGCGGUGCAAUGAGCAAUCAUGAAUCCCGAGUUGAGUCCUCCCUCGUUGACAAGGAAGGCAGGAAGCUCACUGAGAGAAGGGUUACACAACCUCUCGAUCCUCCUCUCACUGAUGGAGGCAAGUUCAUGGACUGCAAUCGCCAAGAAGUCCAAAGCCUAACAGAAAGGAAAGCUUAGUGAAAGAGAGAAGAACAAAAUCUACAACAGACACUGUUUACAGUUGUCUGAUUCAAAACAUGCGUACCUUCGCUGGGUAUUCUCCAUGGAAAUUCCCGCCUGAAAUGGUCUCUCCGCGUUCAGCGAAUACCAUCUUUUAUGGCAGUUAAAGAAUGUAGAUGUGAUCUCAUACCCAAUAAAAUCAUGUGUACAGAUAAUUCAUGAAGGAUACAGGAUUGUCAGUGGCACUGUUGAUUUCUGUAUUGAUGAUGUUCUGGACAAAUUUGAUUGUGUCCGUGGUGACUCCAUGAACCUGUAAACAGAACAGUCAACACUGAAGCAUUCAUCUC